GUGCUUGCUUUGCCAGCACAUAUACUAAAAUUGGAAUGAUACAGAGAAGAUUAGUGUGCCCCUGUACAAGGAUGAUACACAACACUGUGAAUUUUAAACAAAAAGG
rnacentral:snRNA from 1 species